UAGAGCCUGAACACAGGGGGGUGUGGCUGGUGGCUCCUCUGAUAGCCAAACUUCCCAGCUCAGUCCAGGGGCGCGUGCUCAGAUCUGCAGGACAGGUGUUAGAGAGCGGAAACAACUUCUGGUCUUCUAAGAAUAAGUCUGAAAAGGACAGAAGUCUACAGAAAAGCACUUCCUUACUAAGUCACCAGCCGUUCCUGUCCCUGGUGUUAUCAUGUCUGAAAGGCCAAGAUGAGCAGAGAGAAGGUUUACUGACCUCACUUCAUAGUCAGCUGGAGAAGUUUGUCAAUAAUGCUAAAGAGGGUAAAUUUCCAGAGGAUAGCAAGACUCAGCAGAUUGUAGAGGAGGCUCUUCAACUGAGACUGAGCUUGGUGAGUAAU